rnacentral:tRNA from 1 species
UCCCUGGUGGCUCAAUCAGUAAAGAAUCUGCCUGCAGUGCAGGAGACCUGAGUUCGAUCCCUAGUUUGGGAA